CGGACGGGUGAGUAAUACAUAGGAAUCUGCCCAGUAGCGGGGGACAACUUGGGGAAACUCAAGCUAAUACCGCAUACGCCCUACGGGGGAAAGCAGGGGAUCUUCGGACCUUGCACUAUUGGAUGAGCCUAUGUCAGAUUAGCUUGUUGGUGGGGUAACGGCCUACCAAGGCGACGAUCUGUAGCUGGUCUGAGAGGACGAUCAGCCACACUGGGACUGAGACACGGCCCAG
rnacentral:rRNA from 1 species